CGGGACUCUAGGCGACUGAGGGUAGCCUCCGCGCCGCGUGGACAGUGGCGGGUCCACAAAAAGCCUAGAACUUGUGGGAACCCAUGCAGACCUGUCUGUGGUCCAAAAAGCAGACAUAAGAGGAAGGAAUUGAAAGGCUCGUAACUCCUACUGAGUGGGAGUUGCUGCCAAGGAAUCUGGGACUACUGUAUCCUGGAGGGAUAUUCCCAGGACCAUGCUGUUACAUGGCCAUGGCUGAUGAAGACAAGCUUCUGGACUGGUGGAUUGCUUUGAAGGCUCCUAAAUAAGACUUGCUUAUUUGGGAUCCCCUGGAGCUCUCACCCUUUUUUUAUUUUAAAAUAAUCUCAAGUUUAUAAAAAGUUGCAAGUACACUACAAUACCUUACUUUAAAACAACGAUUUGAUUGGUUCUUCCUCUAAUAGGCAUUUGAACUUGGACUGGGCCAGACUACCAGCUUUCUUGCUUCUCCAUCAUGCUGACAGCUGACCGUGGGACUUCUCAAAAGGUUCUGGACCCAAGGAUAAAAUCAUUCCGAGAUGAAAGGAAGACGGAGAUCCAAUUUGUGCAAUUAAAGUGGCUUUUAUUCCACCUGGAGGGCAGGGUGAAGAUAUCUGGACCACGUUGACUUUUGGCACUACCUGAUUAAUUAUAAUACUUUGAUGACAUGUUGAUUCAGUUGGCUUUCCAAGAGAUGGCUAGUACAAUACAGGGGCUGGUUUUGAACCCACCAUCUCCGGUAUGUGGGGCCAGCACCCUACUCCUUGAGUCACAGGAGCUGCCCAACCAUUCGGUUUUUCAUUUUUUAGUACAAUAUUCAGUAAGUUACAUGAGAUAGGCAACACGUUAUUAUAAGAUACAUUUUGUGGUAGAUGAUGUUGCCCAAACAUAAGUGUUCU